rnacentral:tRNA from 1 species
UGUUCUGUGGCUUAGUUGGUUAAAGCGCCGGUCUAGCCCGUAGUCGUGGGAUCGAAUACCACCAGAAUGC